rnacentral:misc_RNA from 1 species
AAUUAUCAAAAUAAAUCUUUUGUUCACUCGAUCGAUUUUAUUUUGGACUUGGGGGUCUGCAGAUUCACGUCUGCUCCCCUUGAAUGCAUUAGCUGGAUCACUGUAGACUCGGUUCCACUCGGCGUGAUAAGUAUCACUCGCUGAGGACACUCUGUAAAAGGAGUGGCCGGGAUUACUAGAGAACCGCUUCCAAUAGUCCAUUUGCUUGGACAAUUACAUUUAUG